CAAUAUUUCGACUGUACAUAUUCUAAAAUUGGAACGAUACAGAGAAAAUUAGCAUGGCCCCUGCGCAAGAAUGUCAUGCAAAUUCGUGAAGCGUUCCACACCAGC